rnacentral:rRNA from 1 species
GAUCAUGGCUCAGAUUGAACGCUAGCGGGAUGCCUUACACAUGCAAGUCGAACGGCAGCGCGGACUUCGGUCUGGCGGCGAGUGGCGAACGGGUGAGUAAUGUAUCGGAACGUGCCCAGUAGCGGGGGACAACCACUCGAAAGAGUGGCUAAUACCGCAUACGCCCUACGGGGAAAGGGGGGAUCGCAAGACCUCUCACUAUUGGAGCGGCCGAUAUCGGAUUAGCUAGUUGGUGGGGUAAAGGCCUACCAAGGCGACGAUCCGUAGCUGGUUUGAGAGGACGACCAGCCACACUGGGACUGAGACACGGCCCAGACUCCUACGGGAGGCAGCAGUGGGGAAUUUUGGACAAUGGGGGAAACCCUGAUCCAGCCAUUCCGCGUGUGCGAUGAAGGCCUUCGGGUUGUAAAGCACUUUUGGCAGGAAAGAAAUCGUGUGGGUUAAUACCCUGCGCGGAUGACGGUACCUGCAGAAUAAGCACCGGCUAACUACGUG